UUAUGGGCUACCCUACGUCUCUCCUUCCCUCAAAAGCACUGCAUCCAGCAGCAUUCACUCUGCAGAUGCCCCACGCAUGCACUGAUACCGAAGAUGCUUGACAUGCACUACCUCUAGUGCUGAAGAUGCGCACCGUAAUCUGAUAUCGACAGCCAAAGCCACGCUCAUUCCUGCAAUAUGCAGUGAUUGUAUUCACAUGCAAUUCUGCAUGCAUUGCCGCAACCUCCCGCCCACGCCACGCCACGCCACGUCACCCCUGGUCCCACCCGCACCUGGUCCACCGCCCCACGCAUGAUGAGGUACAGCAGGUAGCCGGCGUCGCUGCGCCGAACCUGUAAGAUAAAAGAAGGGGAUAGUAGCCGCCCAUCAAAGACGGAGUGAAUGGGGUGGGCAUGGGCGAUAGGAACACACGGACAUUUGCCACCCGCGAUAGGAACACACGGACAUUCGCCACCCAACACGUCAUGCUGCGUUAUCAACACCCUUGGGCUUCCUAUGAACAUUCGAUAUCUCACAUGCGCCUUGCUGGUGAGCAAAUGCGACGAGCCGCCGACGUUGCUGCCCGUGUGCUGCAGCGCCGGCGCGCCAGCGGAGCCCCCACGGCGUGGCGACGCCGGGCUUCAGGCGUCCCAGACUCCCCUGUGACUCCUCCCGCCAACACCCCGCCGCUGCCCGUGGCGUGUCGACGCUCGGGGAUAUUGCGCUGCAAAGGAAAGCCACGGCUUAUGUCAUUUAUGCAACAGGCGCAAUCAACUGGGCUUGUUUGGCUGUUUGCGACUGGGGAAUGUACUGUCGGCCUGCAACGCCGCACGAACGGCUCUCGCCUCGUUUAUUGAUUAUAAAAUUAGUAAACAGGAUGUUGUGACCCAGUCGACGCGUGAAACCUCACGCAUGGCGAAACGGGGAGUGCAUUCU
rnacentral:lncRNA from 1 species